CCGAUCCGAGCCGAGCCGAGCUGACCACGAAAUGAGCGAGCCAGCGAGCCACGAGCAUUUUGUCCAGCCCUAGCCUCAGGGGCGGCCGGGCGGGCGCACUCCUCCUCGAGGCUCGUUUCCGCUGCGGCGGAGAGGAAUGGGAAGCGGGCGUCGCCUUCCCUAGCGCUCCCUCGCCGCGCCCGCGGCGGCCUCCCCGGCCCCCUGUAUCUUCUCGAUCCGGUAAGCCCCCGAGUCCCUGAUCCCCAAAUCUAUCGUGGUCCUGAUCUUAAUUUUGGAGCCGUGAUGAGGCGCCAGUGGGAUUAUUUCUUGGUUCACGAGUUCGAUUAGAAGCGUAUUUUUUUUGGUUGGAUUCUGAUCAUGCACGUUUAAUCGUAUAUGGAUGAGUUAAAAGACCUAACGCGGCUCAAUUUAGCUCGCCCUUCGCCAACUGGUAGUAGUGGGUACUGGUAGAUUAGAGCAACUGGGGCUUGGGAAUCGGUUCGAUCACAUCACUCGGGUUUCAGAGACCUAACAAUAACUGACAUCAUUUCUUAUUAGUUUACGUACACGUGGUUCCAUGUCAAGUUGUCAACCAAUCACUUGCGAUUUCAGUUCCUCGUAGACCGCAACUAACGAUUGGUCAGGGCUUCAGGCCAUCCAUCGACCCCAAACCCACGUUCUCUAGAUUCUAUAGUGCAGCUUUGUUUGUUAAUUAUCCUUAAUUAUGAGGGGCCUAGAUUCAGUGCUCAGUUAUGCACCCCAAGUCAAUCUCUCGCAACUAUAUUAUGUGCAUGCAUCUUAAAUAAAUAAAGUCCGGUCCCCUCUGUUUUCAACUGAUGAAUAGAUAAACUAUAGCCUUGCAAAGGAGACUUGGAUUCCGUAUACGUUCCGGUUUUGCAUGUGCAUCUUACCUUUGAACUGAUAGAUGAACAUGCGUAGUUUAAAUCAUAAGAAUUGGUGAGCAGUACUGUUUUGACGUACCUGUUUUCUGACGGGGCAUCCUGCUGCCACUGUACACCGGUAGUAGGCGCGGGGGCACGGGUUCCCCUUGGCUACCUUCUGCCCGUACUUUCUCCAUUGGCAUCCGUCGUUCAUCUGAUCAACAAUCCAAAGCACAUGUUCACGCUGUAGCUACUUCCGAUACAUGCAUAUCAAGCAGACAUCUAUGAUACGUGCAUCUCUGUCGGAUGAAAUACACAUGUCUACGACAACAUACCGUUGGUGCAUCACACCUUGCCCUUACGGACACCCUUGUCUUCUUGGUCUGUGGCAGCAGUGGGCCUACGUCGUCGUCAUCCUCAGGUUCCGUGGCGCCGACGUUCCUCGACUUCUUCUGCGUGUUGCUUGGCAGCCAUUGCCGGUCUGCUGCCUCCGUGGUGUCGUCGUCCUUGGCGUCCUCGGAGCUAGCUUCAGGGCUCAAGGUCGUCACAUCGGGCUGGACCUUUCCAGUGUUAUUAGCCGCGCCAUCGUCAUCUUUGCGGGCUGAUGAUGACAGUCCGAGUGACAGGCCUUCUUCUUCUUUAACACCCAUCAUCAAGUAGUCUUCCCUCCAUUUUCCUUCGGCAGCACUGAUGAUGACGCUCUUCUCUUCCUUCUUGUGCGUGCCUGUGCCCGUGCCGAGGCUCAGCGAGACGAAUUCGGACUCCUCGAUGCCGGUGGGUGGCGUGAUGGUCGAGGGCCGGUGGUCAGCAAGCUUCUUCUCCAUGGGUUCUCCUUUUUGAAGAACGUCGUGGAACUGUAAUUGGAGAGACCGGUAGUCCUCUACGAUGCGUGACAGCAUUGUCUUUAGCCUCUUGUUCUCUUCUCUUACCUCACCCAUCUCUGCCCUUGUGGAUGCAAGGUUAUCUUUGUCGACCUGAAGACAUCACAAAUGCACAGCUAUGAGAUCGGUAGCCAUUAAUUCCUUAACCAAGUCACAUACGAUAAUGAACUUCUGAAGGUUAUUGGUAUAAGCACAAUGCCUCUUGACCUUGUUAUGAGCCUUCAAAUUAGUUGAGGUUUGAUUUGAUGCUUCGUCCAUUUCGGACUUUUCCCUUAGGCAAGGGGAGCUUGCCUAGUAAGGCACAAAAAACGGCUGAUCAGAAUAAUGGAUCCGAUAAUAUAAUAAGGUAAAGAAACUAGAAUUAAUCCCCUCAUGUUUAGCCAUGCAUGAAUUGCUUUCAUGCAUGGUUAAUGGAUCAUUGAAUAUAUAUGUUUAUAAUAACAGUUUGGCACCUCUUUUCUUGAACUUGAUUUGUGUGAGGACUUAAACAAAUUGGCAUCCAGGAUACGGUCAUCAUUUCUGAUCUGUAACAGUAACAUGGAAAGUUGUUUUGGUAAGAACAGCAAAGAAAGCCAUGGAUAAAUAUCUGAGGACCGACUGUACAUAUAUGGGGCGGAGACCAUUCCAGUUUAGUUUCUUCACAUGUUUUUUUGUGUUAUUUACAUAUACACCAGACUUUGUGGUUCCUGAUAUUUGGUUGGGCACUUGGUUGAUUUCGACAUCAGAAUUUGCUCUUGAACAUGCCUUCCUCUAAGGCUUAUUCUCAUUCCAUAUGGAUUGGAUGGAUUAAAAAAAUAUAAACUUUUUUACUUGUUAUAGAUUUAAAUUCACUCAAUCCCGUCUAUAUGGAUUGUGAAUUUGUGAUCGAAACAAAACAUGUCGUAAUCGAUCCUAGUUCCAAUCAUAUAUUCAUAUCUAUAUAUUUAUUCUAGGAGAACUGCAAAUCUGAAGGAAGUCCCUUUACAUAUACUGUAGAUGAAGAGCAACAAUAGAAACUCGCUGUGUCCUGAACUCAUCAUACAUAAUCGAUCGAACGAAAACACAACUAAAUGAAACUCUUGAGAAGUAAAUCACAGACAAACAAAACGAGAAAAAUACCAGACCUCGCUUGUUAACUGCUCCUCGUGGCUUCCAGACUGCUGCUGCCCCCUAAACAUCUCUCUCCUCUUUGACAGAAGCUAGCUAAUAACUGCCUAACUUCCCUCUAGCUCAUCCAGUUCUCUCUCUUCAGAUCUCUUUGUUCCUGCAGCGGUCUAUUGCUUAUAAAGAUAGGCCGCUGCUGCACAGCCUCGUGCGUGUCUCUCUCUCUCCUAUUUGGACUUUGGCAUAAAAGAAGUCGUAUCGUAACCCGGUGCUAACCUAUGUUAGGCGGUCAACGUCUGAUAAUGUCAAAUAUCUAUCGCUGCACUCUUCCAUGGCUUCUUUUAUGUGGAUUUCAACGUGUGCAACAUGUUGCUCUUGUUUUUUUUUGGCUGCGUCCAGAGUCCAGACUGCAUGCGUACGGCCAGCUGGACUGGAGGAGCGCGGGCCGGUCCACAGUUAAUGUCCGUAUGAAGCUUCCCAGGAGUCGUCACAUCAGCCGACCAUUAGAAAACUGUCUUAACAUGGAAGAACUUGAUUUUCAAAGUUUCAAACGUUGGACCUUUAAACAAUAGGGUGCUUUAUAGGCAACCGGUAAUUUGGUACCCAUAGGAUAUAUAGUACCCAUAAAGCUAGCCGUCUUUUUUUUGAUAUUUAGCCUUUUUUUGAAAAAGUUUUUUACAAGUAUAUCCUUUUCGGUUUAAAUUCAGAAAAUAGACUCUUACCUCGACACCAUCACUAUUGGCACCGAGGUUACAUGACGCCAAUAUAGAUGACACCGAGGUAUCGCUCCGGAGCGCCGAUGUGGCGCCUACGUGCCAGGAGUCGGCGCCGUCACUAUUGGCGCCGACCCUGGCCUGUCGCCCACAAACUACCACUCAGCCUUGGCUCGUGCGUGUGUUAUAUAUACACACACUUAUAUAUAUAUAUAUAUUCGUCGAACCUGUGAGAUGAAUUUGCAAACAAUACUUAUGCAUGAAGCAAUUUGUGUUUUUCUUUUAGCUAUUCACGCAGAUGUUGACUAAACUUAUUAGUUGCAUGCGCUUAUACAACAUGGUUCAUAAUUUUAGCGAUCAACCAUCAAUCCAUAAUUUCUAGCAAUCAGCGGUUGAUACCUAAUAAGGGUUGCUAAAAAUUAACCGUCGUGUAUAACGAACCUUACAAGGUGUCACACAAUUUCCAUGCUAUUACCCUUUGAGUAGGUCUAUAUAACUCAAUUUUAUUGAAGUUAAGCACAAAUAUAUAUAUAUAUAUAUAUAUAUGUGUGUCACUUGUUCUCAAAUGUUAUGAAUCAAGAACAAGACAACACAAUCGUUAAAGAUUAAGGAUCUUCGUCUUCCGAAACAUUAUCUCCACAUAGGGAUAAUACUCAUCAGACGAAGAUCAAGAAAGACUUGCCUUUAUUACUUAAUACGUGAAUAGAAAUACGAAAGGAUAAAGACGAAGACAGGAUCUUAUUAAUUCAUUUAUAUUCGUAUUCCAUAAAACAUAAAUAAAUAUUCAACAAUAUUAAUAUUACAUUGAUACCUUCGGCUUGCUCGAAGGUGUGAAUGCGGGUGGGUGAUUACAAUUCAGCGUGAACAGUACGGUGGUAUUGUCCAUCUAUUUAUAGGAACGGUACAUAGCCCGGGUGAAAUUACAUAUAUGUCCUUGUUAUCCAUUUACAAUCAUAACACAAAACAUUAAGGACUAAAUAGUCUUUGUCCUUUGUUGGGGCGAAGGCGAACACGCUACCCUUCGCUCGAUGCCUUCGCCGCCUCUCUACAUCGACGAUGUCCACAUCCUCAAAGCACGCCCGAACAAGCCGAAAGCGCCGCGUGGAUGAAGACCGGCGCGGUCCUCCUCCGUUCUCUCCGUUGCAAGACGAAGGCUCCGUCGAAGUCUACGGGACCCACGUCCUUACCGCAUCGGGAGGCCCAAGUAGGAUUCGACCCACUAUGAUGGGCCCCGCGCGGAUAAACAUGUUACGGACCGCGUCUGUAAUAGCCUUUUCUGUAAUGACAGAGUGUAACCCCUCUCGUGGGAAUAUUCUGGGGAUAGACCGGGUACUUGAGGGCAUAAACGUCUUUAACAGGGGACGGGUGGCCACUCGAGUGCCUAUAAAUACACCCGUACAGUGCCCUUGAGAGGCUAGAUUAACAGAGCUUUUGCCAUCCCACGUUAAACUUUGCCUGCACUCUUUCCACUUUCCCGUUGGAUCUACUUGCCCAAGAGAGCAAGUUCCAACAUCCUUUUUUGGUCAUCAUUAUACUUGGUCUUCGUCAUCACAUCAAGCCGUAGUUCUGUGGCUAUAGCUUCGUCGUCCAUUUUUAUCACCUUCGGGUUACAUCUUUACCCUUGUUACGAGAGAAGAUCUUCAUUCCGAAGCCGAAGUCUGAUGCAAUAAUCCAUGUCAUACUGAAAAUAUAUAGCCAGUCUCGUUUUUGAGGACCUUCGGAGGAAGAAAGCCCCCAACAUAUAUAUAUACACACACAAACAUAUAUUAUAUAUUUAUACAAAUAAAUAUGUGUCUAUAUAUAUAUAUGUAUACACACACGUAGAAGCCGAGUCCGAGCGGUCGUUUGCGGUACGUAGGCGCCACAUCAGCGCUUUGGAGCGAUACCUCGGCGCUAUCUAUAUUGGCGCCGAUACGUGUAAACUCGGCGUCAAUAGUGAUUGCGCUAAGGUAAAGGUCCAUUUUCUGAAUUCAAACUGAGAAAGGUAUACUUGUGAAAAUCUUUUUCAAAAGGGCCAAAAAGCAAAAAUGACGGUAAAGCUAGUACCUUGUGGGAAUUUGCAGAUAAAUUGGAGGUUUUGUUCCACGACUUCGGUAGAUAGUUCAACAAUGACUUGUUCUUUACUUAGGGGAAAACGGUAUUGGCAUUCGAUGAAAUUAGAGGGUCACAUACAUCUUUUAUCCGUAUAUCACUAUUUGGUUUAGACUUGAGGAUCGCGUGUGUCUUUUUCAGAGGUCAGUAUUGUUCUUCGAGAAAAAGUCCACUUAAUUCCACCAGCAUGGUAUGAUGGUAGUAGCCCCAAAAUUGAGUUAAUUGCUUUGGAUGCGUAUAUGGACAAUCAUUUAACGUGCAGUUAAGUUUUCUAAUGCUAUAUAUUCUCUGAUAUCUAGAAACAUUUCUCCAAGCUCCAAAUCACAUGUCGUUGACUUGUGAUUCAACAUGUAUCAUUUUUUUUAUUGAGAAAGGUACUAGUAUUAGAGUAGAGGAUCUACAGCCUUUCUUAUGGGUUUACCAUUGGGCUCCCGGAAAAAUCUGUGUUAAUGAAGGAUCUGACAUUUCUUUCUUACUUUCUAAGGCUUUGGUGUACCUACAUGGUUUUUUUUAUUGUCCCCUGAGGCCUGAGGGGAUGAAUCCCCACCUGAAUGUAUAUAUUGCUUUGUGGGCCAACGAACCCGAUUUUUUGUACAGAUAGGGUGGGGGGUGGUGGGGGGGGGGGGGAUCAAUACAUCAGGCUAGAGAUUUAUGGGUUAUGGCAUAUUCAGCACACGGCGCCAAGUUCAGCCUCGGUUUAAUUUGCACAAAUUGCAAAUCCCGGCCAUGGAGGUUGUCUCGCCGUGGAACACCACGCCAUUUCGGCGCUUCCAAAUUUGCCAGCAACAUAGAAGAAUAAAAGUGUUGUAAUGCUUUUGUGGGAGGGUCGGCGAACGUUGCAGGCGCAAAAGAAAGUUACGCUCUUCUAAUGCCUGCUGAGUCAACUGUGAAACAAGGUGAGCAUCGAGUCCAUCCUCAGCAACUGACCGAACACUGACAUCGGGUUUCUUGGCAUGACUGAACAGAGCUGGGAACUGAGUUGCUAAAUCGUCGUCUCCAUGCCAAGCAUCAUGCCAAAACGCUGUCGAUCGAGCGCCCAAUAAUAAUAUUAAGAGACCAGUCGCAGUAAAAAUGACCAAGUAUGUAGAAAUUUAUGCCAUAGACGAAAAAGUUAGAAAGAGCGAAUAAAGUGUCAGACUUAUGUUGUAGCGGAAACAUUCAAAAGAUAAUACGAGAUCUUAAGGUUUAUGGAAACAACACCAAUAAGAUCUUCUCAAAUCUCUCUAACUAAAUAUACACAGAACCGACCGGCGAUUAACGCCUAUCGCAGGACCAACACACGGUAUUCAUAUUUGGUUGUCUAACAAAUUUUAUUAUGAAAAUAGAUUCAAAUAUCUAUCUAUAAUAUUAAUUAUAAAUAUUAAUAUUUUGUUAUAUAUAUUUGGUCAAUGUUAAAAAUAGUUGACUCAUAGGUCGAAAAAUUGAGAAUAACAACUAUUUUUGGACGGAGUGAGCACUUAUACCCUCAUACAAUGUUAGCACUACAACUCUAAAAUCCUUAUGAGUUGUUGACUAUACUUAUAUCCAGUUAGAAAUUAAGACCAGUCGUUUGAUCUUUGUCGCACUGAAUAUAUUACUCAGCUCGAAACUGACAGUGCCUUCAUAAAUGUUUGUUGCCCUUCAGCUGAGCUUUAAUUUUGCAGCAAUUCAAGAAGUAGGUAAAGCCAGUUUAGUUUCAACUGAACAGUAGCUGCACGUAUUUUUCUACAAGUUUGUGCUGCCCACUGAAUUGAUGUUUUACUUACAGCAGUAUUUGUUAAUUUAACUUAUCAGCUAAUGAAAUAUUUUAUUUGCGUAUAAUCUCGUUCUUUUCAUUGUGUCUUGUGAGUCCAGGUCUUUGAUCUUACGUUUGUUUGACUUUAGAAUAAUGAAAAACAAAUAUUUCGCCAGCUCUCUUAUUAUUUGAGCGGUGUGAUAGGUGUACACGCAUGCAUAUGUGUCCUUAUUCCGCUGCUCUGCAUAACUAGACUAGAAAGGCGUUUGACCUGUAGAUUUCGAGUGCUACUUGUAUUUAUACGGUGCAUGUACCAUGUUCCAGUGAAUGCUGCUUCAUCCUUACAGUUGACUGUGGUUCGCGUUUUGCCUGUCUAUGCAAUUCGUUAAUCUCACAGAGUAUCUUUCUAUAGUUUAAUAGACAAUGUGUUUUGGUUAAUGACAGCUUUUAUACGAACCGGUAUGGUUGAUAUCGUUAGUAUUCGGUUUCGGGUUUGAGGUUCUCCUCGUGUAAUUACUCUCUCACCCCUAUAUAAUGAGAUAUCCUAAUUAAUUCAUAUCUAUUAAUAUAACACCCAAUCCCAAGAUAGAGUUAGAAUUUCCCACAUGGUAUAGAGCUAGGUUAGAUUUUUCACUUUUAUCUCGCCUCCUUCCCACCCAAUUGCCGCCGCCCCCUGCCCAGCCCCUGGCCGCCUGCCCUUCCCAUCGGCGUACCCUAGCCCCUUCCCGACGGCGUGCUUCAGCCCCAUAGACGCCAACCCUCUCUCCUAUGCGGACGACUCCGUCGUCGACCUGGCAUGGGCCUAGCUGCCACCACCGGCCUCGACGUAGGCCUAGCCGCCGCCUCCUCCUCCAGCGCGGGCCAAGCCGUGACCAAGGACGAAGCCACUGCCACCGCAGCGGGCCUGCUCGGCCAACAGGUUGUCGGUGCCAGGCCGACCUGCUCGGAUUCCCUUACUCCGGCGCCCUUUGGUCCCCCUCCGGCGUAGGCACAACGCCCCUGCGCACCGCUGCGCCCGCCGGGGAUGGUCUGCCCUUCAUCGCCGGCCUGGAGCCUCUCCAUGACGCCCUCUCUUUCGCACUUGCUGCGCAGCAACAACCUCGUGCCAUCCUCGCUGCGCAGCAGCAAAGGCCUCGUCGCCACCAUCGAGAUUCUCCCUCACUGCUCCCGCGUGGGUCGACACCGUCGCAUCCUCGACGGCUACACCCGCAUCCUCCAGGCUGGUCAUCGCCAUCGACACCAUCUGGGCCGCCUCGUAGGAGCACGAGUGUGUCGCGUCUCUCGCUUGGGAACAGGAGCGCACCAUGGGCUAGGCCAUGACCACUCAGCUGGCCACGGCUCAGCGUCUCCUUCUCGGUCGUGGCACACCGCCACCCUCGGUUAUCCCUGAGGUUUCCCUAGUGCUUCCCGAGUCUCCCCAUGUCUCCGGGCUCGACACUGCCACCAUCGCCACCCUCCAACAUAAGCUUAAUUUUAGCCAUAACAUACAAGAGUCUAACAUAGUUAAACUAUAUGCAACAGUUAGCCGAUCAAGUUAAUUAACAUAACUACCUACGACAUUAUUUGAGUUAACUCUCGGAAGUUAGCACAUUUAAUAAAAAAUAAAAGAAGUAUAAACAUGGUACCUGACGGCGGGUCGCCGGGCAUGGGGGCGUCGGCGGGGCGGGGCGGAGGCGCCGGUGGGCGGGCCGGCUGGGGCGUCAGCGGGCGGGCCGGCGGAGGCGCUGGCGGGGCGCGGUGGUGAGGAGCGCGGCGGGCGGCGGGCAGGCGAGGGCGAGACGGCCGAUUGGCAGGCGGGGGCGCCGACGGUGCGGGGACGGCGGGCGUGGGGCGCCGGCGGGGCGCGGCUGGCGGGUCUGGGGCGCGAUCGGCGGUAGCUGGAAGAAACGGGAGCGAAAAGGAAAGUGAGGAGAAGAUAAGGUUGAUUCGUGGGUUAAGAUAAAAAAUAUAACUUUCUAGAGUAAAGUCGUAGGAAGUUACUUAACUUCCUAGAGGUUGUACAUGUACUCUAGGAAGUUAAUUAACUUCCUAGAGCAGGCUUGUAGGAAGUUAGCUUUUUGUUUGACUGGUCAAAAGCUGAAAGCUAACUUCCUAGAGUAGGCCGUAGGAAGUUAGCAUGGGCAGCUAACUUCCUAGAGGCGGCCGUAGGAAGUUAGCUUUUCGUUUGACUGGUCAAAAGCUGAAAGCUAAUUUUUUAGAGGAGGCCGUAGGAAGUUAGCAUGAGGGCGUAGAAAGUUAGGUUUUCGUUUAACUGGUCAAAAGCUGAAAGCUAACUUCAUAGAGGAGGUCGUAGGAAGUUAGCAUGGGCAGCUAACUUGCUAGAGACAACCGUAGGAAGUUAGCGGCUCGUUUGACUGCACCCGCGGAUCAACAACUGAAAGGUAACUUCCUAGAGGAGGCCGUAGGAAGUUAGCUGCCCAUACUAACUUCCUAGAGGAGGCCGUAGGAAGUUACCAUGGGCAUCUAACUUCCUAGAGGCGGCCGUACGAAGUUAACUUUUCGUUUGACUGGUCAAAAGCUGAAAGCUAACUUUCUAGAGGAGGUCGUAGGAAGUUAGCAUGGGCAGCUAACUUGCUCGAGACGACCGUAGGAAGUUAGCGGCUCGUUUGACCGCACCCGCGGAUCAGCAACUAAAAGGUAACUUCCUAGAGGCGGUCGUAGGAAGUUAGCUGCCCAUGCUAACUUCCUAGAGGCGGCCGUAGGAAGUUAGCGGCUCGCUUGACCGCACACACGGGUCAACAUGUGAAAGCUAACUUCCUAUAACUUUUAUAAAAUACCGUAGGAAGUUAUGUUUAUUUCCUAGAGCUAUCAGUUGCCUCUCAGAAGUUAUUUAUUUUCUACGGUUUGUUAUAAAAGUUGUAGGAAGUUAAAAAACCAUAGGAAGUGUAUGUUUUCGUGUAGUGUCCACGCUCAGACCGUUGGGGUUCACAACAUACGGUCCCUCGUGUCCAUCGUGCUGGACCCGUCGUCCUCCCACUACCCACGCUGGCUCGCUCAGGUGGUCCUCACCCUCCGACGGUUCGCCCCUGCUGACCACGUCCUCGAUGACCCCAUCGCCUCGCUGUCUCUGUCAUGGGUCCAGAUGGACAGCGUGGUCCUCUUGUGGCUCAACGGCACCAUCACCGUUGAGCUGCAGAACAUCGUCCGUGAUCAGGCGGACACCGCGCGCCAGGCAUGGCUCGCUCUUGAGGGCCAGUUCCUCAGGAACUGGGAGGCUCGGGUGCUCCACCUCGACGCCCAAUUCCACCUGUUCUCUCAGGGGACCUCUCUAUGGGCAAGUACUACCGCCAGAUAAAGGGCAUGGUAGACUCUCUCCGUGACCUCGGGAGCCUAUCGUCGAUCGUACCUUGGUGUUGAACCUUCUGCAUGGCCUCAACCCCCGCUAAGGCCACCUGAAGGCUCUCAUCAAGAGGACCGUCCCCUUUCCCACUUUCCAUGCCAUGAGGAACAAGAUUCUCCCCUCGAGGAGCUCACCAUGGAGACUUAAUGAAAGGGAAAUAGGCUUACACCUUUUCCUAAUUAAUUUUGGUGAUUGAAUUGCCCAACACAAAUAAUUGGACUAACUAGUUUGCUCUAGAUUAUAAGUUUCAUAGGUGCCAAAGGUUCACAACAAACCAAUAAAAAGACCAAGAAAGGGUUCAAACAAAGAGAGCAAAAGACAACCGAAGUGUGCCCUGGUCUGGCGCACUGGACUGUCCGAUGUGCCACCGGACAGUGUCCGGUGCACCACCGGACAGUGUCCGGUGCACCACCGGACAGUAUCCGGUGCACCAGGGAACUCAACUCCAAACUGCUCACCUUCGGGAAUUCUGGGAGCCGCUCCGCUAUAAUUUACCGGACUGUCCGGUGUAGCACCGGACUGUCCGGUGCACCAGCGGAGUAACGACUACUAUAGCGCCAACGGUCGCCUGCAACAGCAUUAAAUGCGCUACAGUGCGCGCAAAAGUCAGGCACGCGCCAGAAGACGCACCGAACAGUCUACAGGACCUGUCCGGUGCACCACCGGACUGUCCGGUGGCCCAGAAGACAGAAGCUCCAAAUCCUCAAGCAAAGGAGGGGGAAGGACUACAAGCCCCGCUCCAAGAAAGUUUGCUACAAGUGUGGUAAACCCGGUCAUUUCAUUGCUAAAUGUCCAUUAUCAAGUGAUAGUGACAGGGGCGACGACAAGAAGGGGAGAAGAAAGGAGAAGAAUAGAUAUUACAAGAAGAAGGGCGGCGAUGCCCAUGUAUGCCGCGAGUGAGACUCCGACGAGAGCUCCACCGACUCCUCCUCCGACGAGGACGCCGCCAACAUCGCCAUCACCAAGGGCCUUCUCUUCCCCAACGUCGGCCACAAGUGCCUCAUGGCAAAGGACGGCAAGAAGAAGGUAAAAAUCUAGAUCCUCCACUAAGUAUGCAACAUCUAGUGAUGAGGCUAAUUCUAGUGAUGAUGAGGAUGAUUUAUUGACACUUUUUGCCAACCUAAACAUGCAAUAAAAGGAGAAAUUAAAUGAAUUAAUUAGUGCUAUUCAUGAUAAGGAUGAACUCGUAGAUAGUCAAGAGGACUUCCUAAUUAAAGAAAAUAAAAGGCAUGUUAAGGUUAAAAAUACUUAUGCUCUAGAGGUAGAAAAAUGUGAAAAAUUGUCUAGUGAGCUAAGCACUUGCCAUGAUGUUAUUUCCAACCUUAGAAAUGAAAAUGCCAAACUAAUUGCUAAGGUUGAAAGUUCAAAUGUUUGUGAUGAUUCAAUUACCAAUCUUAGAAAUGAUAAUGCUAGUUUAAUUGCUAAGAUUGAAAAAUUGAAUGCCUCUCUUGCUAGCCUUAGAAAUGAGAAUGAAAAAUUAAUUGCUAAAGCUAAGGAAUUAGAUGCUUGCAAUGUUUCCAUUUCCAAUCUUAGAGAUGAGAAUGAUAUUUUACAUGCUAAGAUUGUUGAGUUAAAAACUUGCAAACCCUCUACAUCUACCGUUGAGUAUGUUACUAUUUGCACUAGAUGUAGAGAUGUUAACAUUGAUGCUAUUCAUGAUCACAUGGCUAUGAUUAAACAACAAAAUGAUCAUAUAGCAAAAUUAGAUGCUAAAAUUGCCGAGCAUGAGUUAGAAAAUGAAAAUUUUAAAUUUGCUCGUAGUAUGCUCUAUAGUGGGAGACGCCCUGACAUUAAGGAUGGCAUUGGCUUCCAACAGGGAGGCAAUGUCAAACUCAAUACCCCCCUAAAAGAUUAUCUAACUUUGUUAAGGGAAAGGCUCACAUGCCUCAGGAUAACGAGGGUUACAUUUUGUACCCUGCCGGUUAUCCCGAGCACAAAAUUAGGAGAAUUCACUCUAGGAAGUCUCACUCUGGCUCUAAUCAUGCUUUUAUAUAUAAGAGUGAGGCAUCUAGUUCUAGGCAAUCAACUCGUGCUAAAUUGCCUAAGAAGAAAACUCCUAUUGCAUCAAAUGAUCAUAACAUUUCAUUCAAGACUUUUGAUGCAUCUUAUGUGCUAACUAACAAAUCAGGCAAAGUAGUUGCCAAAUAUGUUGGGGGCAAACACAAGGGGUCAAAGACCUGUGUUUGGGUACCCAAAGUUCUUGUAUCUAAUGUCAAAGGACCCAAAACUGUUUGGGUACCUAAAAUCAAGAACUAAAUUUGUUUUGUAGGCUUAUGCAUCCGGGGGCUCAAGUUGGAUCAUCGAUAGCGGGUGCACAAAUCACAAGACAGGGGAGAAGAAGAUGUUCUCCUCCUAUGAAAAAAACCAAGAUCCCCAAAGAGCAAUCACAUUCGGGGAUGGAAAUCAAGGUUUGGUCAAAGGAUUUGGUAAAAUUGCUAUAUCUUCUGACCAUUCUAUUUCCAAUGUUUUUCUUGUAGAUUCUUUAGAUUACAAUUUGCUUUCCGUUUCUCAAUUAUGCAAAAUGGGCUACAACUGUCUUUUUACGGAUAUAGGUGUUACUGUCUUUAGAAGAAGUGAUGAUUCAGUAGCAUUUAAGGGAGUAUCAGAGGGCCAGCUAUACUUGUGACAUUGGUUCCUAAGGCUGUAGAAGGCUUUUUACUUGGUUAUGAUUCAAACACAAGGGCAUAUAGAGUCUUUAACAAGUCCUCUGGACUAGUUGAAGUUUCUUGUGACAUUGUGUUUGUAGAGCAAGUUGAUCUUGAUGAGCUAGAUGAUGAAGAGGCUCCAUGCGUCGCGCUAAGGAACAUGUCCAUUGGGGAUGUGUGUCCUAAGGAAUCCGAAGAGCCUCCAAAAGCACAAGAUCAACCAUCUUCCUCCAUGCAAGCAUCUCCACCAACUCAAGAUGAGGAUCAAGCUCAAAAUGAUGAUGAAGAUCAAGAGGAGCCCCCUCAAGAGGAGGACAAUGAUCAAGGGGAGAUGCUAAUGAUCAAGACAAGGAAGAUGAUCCAAGGCCGCCACACCCAAGAGUCCACCAAGCAAUCCAACGAGAUCACCCUGUGAACACCAUCCUCGGCGAUAUACAUAAGGGGGUAACUACUCGAUCUCGUGUUGCUCAUUUUCGUGAACAUUACUCUUUUGUUUCCUCUAUUGAGCCACACAGGGUAGAGGAAGCACUUCAAGAUUCGGAUUGGGUGAUGGCGAUGCAAGAGGAACUCAACAACUUCACGAGGAAUGAGGUAUGACAUUUAGUUCCACGUUCUAACCAAAAUGUUGUAGGAACCAAGUGGAUCUUCCGCAACAAGCAAGAUGAACAUGAUGUGGUGACAAGGAACAAAGCCCGACUUGUGGCUAAGGGAUAUUCACAAGUCGAAGGUUUGGAUUUCGGUGAAACCUAUGCACCCGUAGCUAGGCUUGAAUCAAUUCGUAUAUUACUUGCCUACGCUACUUAUCAUGGCUUUAAGCUUUAUCAAAUGGACGUGAAAAGUGCCUUCCUCAAUGGACCAAUCAAGGAAGAGGUCUAUGUUGAGCAACCUCCCGGCUUUGAAGAUAGUGAGUACCCUAACCAUGUCUAUAAACUCUCUAAGGCGCUUUAUGGGCUCAAGCAAGCCCCAAGAGCAUGGUAUGAAUGCCUAAGAGAUUUUCUUAUCGCUAAUGACUUCAAAGUCGGAAAAGCCGAUCCUACUCUCUUUACCAAAACCCUUGCAAAUGAUUUGUUUGUAUGCCAAAUUUAUGUUGAUGAUAUCAUAUUUGAGUCUACUAACGAAUCUACAUGUGAAGAGUUUAGUAGGAUCAUGACUCAAAAAUUCGAGAUGUCGAUGAUGGGGGAGUUGAAGUAUUUUCUAGGAUUUCAAGUCAAGCAACUCCAAGAGGGCACCUUCAUUAGCCAAACGAAGUAUAUUCAAGACAUUCUCACCAAGUUUGGGAUGAAGGAUGCCAAGCCCAUCAAGACACCCAUGAGAACCAAUGGGCAUCUCGACCUCGACACGGGAGGUAAAUCCGUAGAUCAAAAGGUAUACCGGUCGAUGAUAGGUUCUUUACUCUAUUUAUGUGCUUCACGACCGGAUAUAAUGCUUUCUGUAUGCAUGUGUGCAAGAUUCCAAGCCGACCCUAAGGAAGUUAACCUUAGGGCCGUGAAAGGAAUCUUGAGAUAUUUAGUUUAUACUCCUAAGUUUGGCCUUUGGUACCCAGGGGAUCCACAUUUGAUUUAAUUGGUUACUCCGAUGCUGAUUGGGCAAGGUGUAAAAUUAAUAGAAAGAGCACAUCACGGACUUGCCAGUUCUUGGGAAGAUCUCUGGUGUCUUGGGCUUCAAAGAAGCAAAAUUCUGUCGCUCUUUCUACCGCCAAAGCCGAGUAUAUUUCCGCAGGCCAUUGUUGCGCGCAAUUGCUUUGGAUGAGGCAAAACCUCAGGGACUAUGGUUACAAAUUAACCAAAGUUCCUCUUCUAUGUGAUAAUGAGAGUGCAAUCCGCAUGGCAGAUAAUCCCGUUGAGCAUAGCCGCGCUAAACACAUAGCCAUUCGGUAUCACUUUUUAAGGGAUCACCAACAAAAGGGGGAUAUCGAGAUUGCAUAUGUUAACACCAAAGAACAAUUAGCCGAUAUCUUUACCAAGCCAUUAGAUGAGCAAACAUUUACCAAACUUAGGCAUGAGCUAAAUAUUCUUGAUUCUAGGAAUUUUGAUUGAUAUUUUGCACACAUAGCUCAUUUAUAUACCUUUGAUCAUAUCUCUUUCAUGUGCUAUGACUAAUGUGGUUUCAAGUGCAUUUCAUGCUAAGUCAUAGAUUGAAAGGGAAAUAGAGUCUUCGGCGAAGACAAGGCUUCCACUCCACUCCAUCGAAUUAUUCAUCCUUCGCCGUCACUCCACUCUCCAACUUUGGUAUAAUCUUCACUCAUAUGCUAUUUACCGUACGGGGAGAAAGUAGUUAAAAGGGCUCUAAUGACUCCGUUUUUGGCGAUUCAUGCCAAAGGGGGAGAGAGUAUUAGCCCAAAGCAAAAGGACCGUACCAUCACCAAUUUCAAAAAUUUUAGUCUUUCGAUUUGUUUUUAAAGUAGUGUUUUCAAAUUGGUAUCUUAUUAUUGAUAUAAUUUCAAAUUGGUAUACCCUCUUCAAAAUUAAUAUCUAAAACCCUCUUGAACACUAAGAGGAGGAUUUCAUUAAGGGGGAGUUUUGUUUAGUCAAAGAAAAAGCAUUUGAAACAGGGGGAGAAAAUUUCAAAUCUUGAAAAUGCUUCUCAUUUACCUUUGACUAUUUUGCCAAAGACUUUGAAAAGAAUUUCCAAAACAUUUGCAAAACAAAACAUGUGGUGCAAGCGUGGUCCAAAAUUUUUAAAUUAGAAGAAAGUCAUCCAUGCAUAUCUAGUAGAAAUGAUUAUUGGUUUCAUUCCAAGCAACCUUUGCACUUACAUUAUGCAAACUAGUUCAAUUCUGCACUUCUAUAUUUGCUUUGGUUUGUGUUGGCAUCAAUCACCAAAAAGGGGGAGAUUGAAAGGGAAAUAGGCUUACACCUUUUCCUAAUUAAUUUUGGUGGUUGAAUUGCCCAACACAAAUAAUUGGACUAACUAGUUUGCUCUAGAUUAUAAGUUUCACAGGUGCCAAAGGUUCACAACAAACCAAUAAAAAGACCAAGAAAGGGUUCAAACAAAGAGAGCAAAAGACAACCGAAGUGUGCCCUGGUCUGGCGCACCGGACUGUCCGGUGUGCCACCGGACUGUCUGGUGCACCAGGGAACUCAACUCCAAACUGCUCACCUUCGGGAAUUCUGGGAGCCGCUCCGCUAUAAUUCACCGGACUGUCCGGUGUAGCACCGGACUGUCCGGUGCGCCAGUGGAGUAACGGCUACUACAGCGCCAACAGUCGCCUGCAACAGCAUUAAAUGCGCUACUGUGCGCGCAGAAGUCAGGCACGCGCCAGAAGGCACACCGAACAGUCUACAGGACCUGUCCGGUGCACCACCGGACUGUCCGGUGGCCCAGAAGAUAGAAGCUCCAACGGUCGAACCCUAACGGUCGGGUGACGUGGCUGGCGCACCGGACAGUGUCCGGUGGCGCACUGGACUGUCCGGUGCGCCAUGCGACAGCAGCCUCCACCAAACGGCUAGUUUGGUGGUUGGGGCUAUAAAUACCCCCAACCACCCACCAUUCAUUGCAUCUAAGUUUUCAGCCUUCAUACACCUUACAAGAGCUAUAGCAUUCAAUACAAGACACAACCAAAGAGAUCAAAUCCUCUCCCAAGUCCAAAGAUCAUUCCAAUCAAAUAGUGACUCGUGAGAGAGAGACUUAUGUUCAUUUGAGCUCUUGCGCUUGGAUUGCUUUUCUUCUUCCUUCUUUCUUGUGUUCAACUCAAUUGUAACCAAGGCAAGAGACACCAAUUGUGUGGUGGUCCUUGUGGGAACUUAGUGUCCCGUUUGAUUGAGAAGAAAAGCUCACUCGGUCUAGGUGACCGUUUGAGAGAGGGAAAGGGUUGAAAGAGACCCGGUCUUUGUGACCACCUCAACGGGGAGUAGGUUUGCAAGAACCGAACCUCGGUAAAACAAAUCAUCGUGUCAUCCGCCUUAUUUGCUUGUGAUUCAUUUUCGCCCUCUCUUUCGGACUCGUUUAUAAUUCUAACGCUAACCCCGGCUUGUAGUUGUGCUUAAAGUUUGUAAAUUUCAGAUUCGCCCUAUUCACCCCCCUCUAGGCGACUUUCACUUAACAUGGUUUAAAAUGUUAAGAAGUGUGACAUAUAGCUUUUUAAUCUUUUCAAGUGGUAUCUAGUACUUACAAGUGGUAUCAUUUGAUUUACAUAAUAUGUGCUAAAUUCCAAAUUAUAGAUAACUUACUCCUAAUAUCACCUACAAGUAAUGCUUGCACUCGUGUGGCAUUUCCUUGUCAAGUGGUUUUUUGGCCUUAAUAGUCUAAGUGCAUUUAUCCUACAAAUAUUCAAACUUGUGUGCAAACUUUUAAGGCUGGUCACCCUAUACAUUGAUAUCUCUGAGACUAACAUCUUUUUCAAGUCUAUCAUGUAUGUAGGAGAUUCACUAAAAGAAAAAAAGUUCGUAGAGUAAAGCAAUAUACUUCAACUAACAAGUGUUAUCAUGCACAAAUGGUAUCAUGAACUUCUACAUGUGGUGUCUCUAAACCAAUGUCAUUGUGUAGUCCUUCAUUCGGUAUCAGGAUCUUCAUGUGGGAAUUGCUACGCAUAAGGUUUACUAUUCAUAAUGUGUAUGCAUACAUAUAGUGGGAACUUAGUCUAUAUAAUGUGAGAGUCGAUUUUAUGAUCAGUCUCCUAUAAAAUAGGAGAACCUUCAAAUCAAAAGGGGAGAAGUUUUUAGGUUCACAAAAUUAUUUGCUUGCUUUGAUUGUGUUGUCAUUCACUAAAAAGGAGAUAUUAUAGGAAAAAUAGACUCGGGCCAUUGAUAGUCGAGUUUUGAUGUUUGAUGAUCAAUGUGACCAUUUGAGCUAACAUUAUUUCCUAAUGUUUUAGAUAUAGUUCAAAGGAUGCUCGGGUGUGAACUUAGAUGAAGGCAAAGAGGUGAUCUAGAAGAUCAACGGCUCAAGAAAGACACUAGAAGACUUAUUAAAAAUCUAAACAAUUAUGCAAGGGUACAAGAUAAGACGAAGACAUAUGGAGACAGAAAAAAACAACUUAACAGCACCAGAUAUGUCUAAAGAGGCACAGGAUAAUUAAACUAAAGAUACGAGUGUUACUGUACUGAAAAGUGUGAAUGAAAUAGAAUACUUUAGACAUGCAGGUGUGCAUUAGAUACAACACCCAUACAAGAAUAUGAUGUGUUUGGAAAAAUCCACAAGACACCAGAUGUAUCUAGUGUGCCAACGGAUACCCCACCAGACGAGUAGUUG
rnacentral:lncRNA from 1 species